CUACGGGGUGCAGCAGUGAGGAAUAUUGCACAAUGGGGGGAACCCUGAUGCAGCAACGCCGCGUGGAGGAUGACGCAUUUCGGUGUGUAAACUCCUUUUAUAUGUCAAGAAAAUGACGGUAGCAUAUGAAUAAGCACCGGCUAACUCCGUGCCAGCAGCCGCGGUGAAUACGGAGGGUGCAAGCGUUACUCGGAAUCACUGGGCGUAAAGGACGCGUAGGCGGGUUGGAAAGUCAGGUGUGAAAUCCUACAGCUUAACUGUAGAACUGCACUUGAAACUUCUAAUCUAGAGUAUGGGAGGGGGAGAUGGAAUUAGUGGUGUAGGGGUAAAAUCCGUAGAUAUCACUAGGAAUACCUAAAGCGAAGGCGAUCUCCUGGAACAUUACUGACGCUAAGGCGUGAAAGCGUGGGGAGCAAACAGGAUUAGAUACCCUAGUAGUC
rnacentral:rRNA from 1 species